UACGUAGGGUGCAAGCGUUAAUCGGAAUUACUGGGCGUACAGCGUGCGCAGGCGGUUUUGUAAGUCUGACGUGAAAUCCCCGGGCUCAACCUGGGAAUUGCGUUGGAGACUGCAAGGCUAGAAUCUGGCAGAGGGGGGUAGAAUUCCACGUGUAGCAGUGAAAUGCGUAGAGAUGUGGAGGAACACCGAUGGCGAAGGCAGCCCCCUGGGUCAAGAUUGACGCUCAUGCACGAAAGCGUGGGGAGCAAACAGG
rnacentral:rRNA from 1 species